AAUUUCUUCAUCCCAGCUCCUAUGAGAUUUAUUCAACUUCCUGAUGAUUCUCCACCACUUUAUGUAUCCAAAUAAAGCUUCUCACAAAGAGAUUCAUCCUGGUUUGAUUGGAAGGACGAAGAAGCUGUGCUAUUCCCAAACUGGGAAACUAGAAUCACCUGAUUUGAAAGUGGGAUAACUUCUUCAUAAAAUGAGCUUUAAACAAUAUUGAAUUCAUAGAAGCAAUCCAAUUUACAUCAAAUCUAAAUAUUUUAGAGUUGUGGCUUGGUUUGUUUUAAAUUGCCGUUUGGAUUUACCGCCGACAUGUCAUCAAAAACAUAUCUUAGCCAUACAUUGGAAUUUCAAACGUAUUAUAAUUAUUGGCUAUAAAAUAUUUCCAUGAAUUUAAUUCCAAAAAGUUAUAGGACAUCAUAUAUUUUCAAAAUACACUAAGUUGGAUUAAACAAUAUUGUCAUAUUAAAAGGUUAAGAAACUUGUUGACAUUUUGUUUUAUCAAGUUUACUUAUGUAUCCAAAAUAGUGUGACAUCCUAGUUCGAUUGGAUCAGAUUUUAGAAAGUGGGAUAACUUCUUCAUCCCAACUCCUAUGAGAUUUAUUCAACUUCCUGGUGAUUCUCCAACACUUUAUGUAUCCAAAUCAAGCUUCUUACAAAGUGAUUCAUCCUGGUUUGAUUGGAACGACGAAGAAGCUGUCCUAUUCCCAAACUGGGAAACUGGAAUCACCUGAUUAGAAAGUGGGAUAACUUCUUCAUCCCAACUCCUAUGAGAUAUUCUCUUCCCUGUAGACAAGCAGUAGAAGGGCUACGUCGGAUGAGUGUCAAACAUAUUGUUAAAAUAUAUCCAAUGAGAGAUAAAUGAAAAGUAAGAAGCUCAUCAGGAAGUUGAAUAAAUCUCCGGACUGAGAUAAAUGAAAAGUUAAUGGUUUACCUUUCUCUUUUCUCUAUUAAUAUGUGUAACCAAGCUUGCAGUGUAGAACCAGGUACAAAGUCUAUUUGGUGCUCAAUCCACUUGAUUCUGAAUUUGAGCAUGGAUGGACCUUCCUUGCAGUGCCAAUAAGACUUUAUAGUGCUAUCCCAAUAAUUGUUUCGGUAAAACAACGAAACAGUAGUGGUAUUUCACUUGGUAAACUAAGUAUCAAUAUUCUAUUACACUUCGAAUGCUAUCCCACCUUCUUUUCCAAAAUAUAUAAUCCCGAAGUUAACAAUAAAUUAUGUUUGAUAUCCCAGGCGGUUGGAUUCUCUGACGUCAUCGUUAAUACGCUAUUGGAGCUGGAAUUACCGCCGACGGAUUAUUGGCAUCCGUUCGUUGUUUUUAUCCCACUUUUUGUAAUGGUGCAAUUAUUUUUUUUUAGAUUAAUUGUAACCAGACUCUAUCACACUAAUCUCCCUAAAUUAGUGGUCAAAGACUCACCAGACGCGUGGGCGACGUAAUCGUCAAAGUACGGAACUCUGAGACCGUUAGUCAACGAAGACAGGUCAAGACUCUUGUGAGCGAGAUCAUCAUUCACGUAAAGAUUGAACACUAGCGUGUUCAUCGUCGCUUGACUCACGAUAUCGCAGAAGUGAACACGAACGAAGUAUCUAUCUUCAGCAAGGUUAGAGGCAUAAAUAGCUGUGUAGACGAAUCUGAUAGUUCCUACCACUUUGAUUUCGCACGUGAGCGACUGUUACUCAUUAUGGUCCUUUCGGAGGAGGUCCUCAACCCGAAAAUCCGAAACUUCUAAUAUUAUAUAUAUAUGGGUGUUUCAGUUUAUUUUUGGUAUUAUAGGUAUUUUUUUAAGUUUCAAAUUUUUAUUUUUGGGUAUAGUUUUGGGUUUCGAUAAAAAACUAGAUUUUCAAAAAUAUAAUUAGGAUAAUCGGAUAAAAUUUUGGAUAUUUUUAUGUCUUUGGAUCAGAUUUUAGAUAAAAUUUAUCAUAUUUUCGAGUAUUUAAAUAUAUUCAAGUAUUUUCUAUGUAUCAUGCUUUUAAUUUAUGACAAUUUAUAAGUUUAUUUUUAAUGCAGUGUAAAAUCACUGAUCCAAAAGUAACGUGAGGUUAAACUGGAAUCACCUGAUUAGAAAGUGGGAUAACUUCUUCAUCCCAACUCCUAUGAGAUUUAUUCAACUUCCUGGUGAUUCUCCAACACUUUAUGUAUCCAAAUCAAGCUUCUUACAAAGUGAUUCAUCCUGGUUUGAUUGGAACGACGAAGAUGCUGUCCUAUUCCCAAAGUGGGAAACUGGAAUCACCUGAUUAGAAAGUGGGAUAACUUCUUCAUCCCAACUCCUAUGAGAUAUUCUCUUCCCUGUAGACAAGCAGUAGAAGGGCUACGUCGGAUGAGUGUCAAACAUAUUGUUAAAAUAUAUCCAAUGAGAGAUAAAUGAAAAGUAAGAAGCUCAUCAGGAAGUUGAAUAAAUCUCCGGACUGAGAUAAAUGAAAAGUUAAUGGUUUACCUUUCUCUUUUCUCUAUUAAUAUGUGUAACCAAGCUUGCAGUGUAGAACCAGGUACAAAGUCUAUUUGGUGCUCAAUCCACUUGAUUCUGAAUUUGAGCAUGGAUGGACCUUCCUUGCAGUGCCAAUAAGACUUUAUAGUGCUAUCCCAAUAAUUGUUUCGGUAAAACAACGAAACAGUAGUGGUAUUUCACUUGGUAAACUAAGUAUCAAUAUUCUAUUACACUUCGAAUGCUAUCCCACCUUCUUUUCCAAAAUAUAUAAUCCCGAAGUUAACAAUAAAUUAUGUUUGAUAUCCCAGGCGGUUGGAUUCUCUGACGUCAUCGUUAAUACGCUAUUGGAGCUGGAAUUACCGCCGACGGAUUAUUGGCAUCCGUUCGUUGUUUUUAUCCCACUUUUUGUAAUGGUGCAAUUAUUUUUUUUUAGAUUAAUUGUAACCAGACUCUAUCACACUAAUCUCCCUAAAUUAGUGGUCAAAGACUCACCAGACGCGUGGGCAACGUAAUCGUCAAAGUACGGAACUCUGAGACCGUUAGUCAACGAAGACAGGUCAAGACUCUUGUGAGCGAGAUCAUCAUUCACGUAAAGAUUGAACACUAGCGUGUUCAUCAUCGCUUGACUCACGAUAUCGCAGAAAUGAACACGAACUGAGAUAACUUCUUCAUCCCAACUCCUAUGAGAUUUAUUUAAUUUCCUGGUCAUUAUACACCACUUUAUGUAUCCAAAUCAAGCUUCUUACAAAUUGAUUCAUCCUGGUUUGAUUGUAACGACGAAGAAGCUGUCCUAUUCCCAAACUGGAAAACUGGAAUCACCUGAUUUGAAAGUGGGAUAACUUAUUCAUCCCAACUCCUAUGAGAUUUAUUCAACUUGCUGGUGAUUCUCCACCACUUUAUGUAUCCAAAUCAAGCUUCCUACAAAGUGACUCAUCCUGCUUUGAUUGGAACGACGAAGAAGAUGUCCUAUUCCCAAACUGGAAAACUCUUCUUUCAAAGUGAUUCAUCCUGCUUUGAUUGGAAUGACAAAGAAGCUAUCCUAUUCCCAAACUGGGAAACUGGAAUCACCUGAUUUGAAAGUGAGAUAACUUCUUCAUCCCAACUCCUAUGAGAUUUAUUCAACUUCCUGGUCAUUCUCCACCAUUUUAUGUAUCCAAAUCAAGCUUCUUCCAAAGUGAUUCAUCCCGCUUUGAUUGGAACAACGAAGAAGUUGUCCUAUUCCCAAACUGGGAAACUGGAAUCAUCUGAUUUGAAAGUGGAAUAACUUCUUCAUCCCAAAUCCUAUGAGAUUUAUUCAACUUCUUGGUCAUUCUCCACCACUUUAUGUCUCCAAAUCAAGCUUCUUACAUAGUGAUUCAUCCUGCUUUGAUUGGAACGACGAAGAAGCUAUCCUAUUCCAAAACUGGGAAACUAAAAUCACCUGAUUUGAAAGUGGGAUAGCUUCUUCAUCCCAACUCCUAUGAGAUUUAUUCAACUUCCUGGUCAUUCUCCACCACUUAAUGUAUCCAAAUCAAGCUUCUUACAAAGUGAUUCAUCCUGGUUUGAUUGGAAAGACGAAGAAGCUGUCCUAUUCCCAAACUGGGAAACUGGAAUCACCUGAUUUGAAAGUGGGAUAACUUCUUCAUCCCAACUCCUAUGAGAUUUAUUCAACUUGCUGGUGAUUCUCCAACACUUAUAUAUCCAAAUCAAGGUUCUUUCAAAGUGAUUCAUCCUGCUUUGAUAGGAAUGACAAAGAAGCUAUCAUAUUCCCAAACUGGGAAACUGGAAUCACCUGAAGUGAGAUAACUUCUUCAUCCCAACUCCUAUGAGAUUUAUUCAACUUCCUGGUGAUUCUUCACCACUUUAUGUAUCCAAAUCAAGCUUCUUACAAAGUGAUUCAUCCUACUUUGAUUGAAACGACGAAGAAGUUGUCCUAUUCCCAAACUGGGAAACUGGAAUCACCUAAUUUGAAAGUGGGAUACCUUCUUCAUCCCAACUCCUAUGAGAUUUAUUCAACUUCCUAGUCAUUCCCCACCACUUAAUGUAUCCAAAUCAAGCUUCUUACAAAGUUAUUCAUCCUGGUUUGAUUGGAACGACGAAGAAGAUGUUCUAUUCCCAAACUGGGAAACUGGAAUCACAUGAUUUAAAAGUGGAAUAACUUCUUCAUCCCAACUCCUAUGAAAUUUAUUCAACUUCCUGGUCAUUCUCCACCACUUUAUUUAUCAAAAUCAUGCUUCUUACAAAGUGUUUCAUCCUUCUUUGAUUGUAACGACGAAGAAGCUGUCCUAUUCCCAAACUGGGAAACUGGAAUCACCUGAUUUGAAAGUGAGAUAACUUCUUCAUCCCAAAUCCUAUGAGAUUUAUUCAACUUCCUCGUGAUUCUCCACCACUUUAUGUAUCCAAAUCAAGCUUCUUACAAAGUGAUUCAUCCUGCUUUGAUUGAAACGACGAAGAAGUUGUCCUAUUCCCAAACUGGGAAACUGGAAUCACCUAAUUUGAAAGUGGGAUACCUUCUUCAUCCCAACUCCUAUGAGAUUUAUUCAACUUCCUAGUCAUUCCCCACCACUUAAUGUAUCCAAAUCAAGCUUCUUACAAAGUAAUUCAUCCUGGUUUGAUUGGAACGACGAAGAAGAUGUUCUAUUCCCAAACUGGGAAACUGGAAUCACAUGAUUUAAAAGUGGAAUAACUUCUUCAUCCCAACUCCUAUGAAAUUUAUUCAACUUCCUGGUCAUUCUCCACCACUUUAUUUAUCAAAAUCAUGCUUCUUACAAAGUGUUUCAUCCUUCUUUGAUUGUAACGACGAAGAAGCUGUCCUAUUCCCAAACUGGGAAACUGGAAUCACCUGAUUUGAAAGUGAGAUAACUUCUUCAUCCCAAAUCCUAUGAGAUUUAUUCAACUUCCUCGUGAUUCUCCACCACUUUAUGUAUCCAAAUCAAGCUUCUUACAAAGUGAUUCAUCCUGCUUUGAUUGGAACGACAAAGAAGAUGAUCUAUUCCCAAACUGGGAAACUAGAAUCACCUGAUUUUAAAGUGGAAUAACUUCUUCAUCUCAACUCCUAUGAGAUUUAUUCAACUUCCUGGUGAUUCUCCAACACUUUAUGUAUCCAAACGAAGCUUCUUACAAAGUGAUUCAUCUUGAAUUGAUUGGAACGACGAAGAUGCUGUCCUAUUCCCAAACUGGGAAACUGGAAUCACAUUAUUUGAAAGUGGGAUAACUUCUUCAUCCCAACUCCAAUGAGAUUUAUUCAACUUCCUAGUCAUUCCCCACCACUUAAUGUAUCCAAAUCAAGCUUCUUACAAAGUAAUUCAUCCUGGUUUGAUUGGAACGACGAAGAAGAUGUUCUAUUCCCAAACUGGGAAACUGGAAUCACAUGAUUUAAAAGUGGAAUAACUUCUUCAUCUAAACUUCUAUGAGAUUUAUUCAACUUUCUGGUGAUUCUCCAACACUUUAUGUAUCCAAAUCAGGUUUCUUACAAAGUGAUUCAUCCUGAUUUGAUUGGAACGACGAAGAAGCUGUCCUAUUCCCAAACUGGGAAACUGGAAUCACCUGAUUUGAAAGUGAGAUAACUUCUUCAUCCCAACUCCUAUUAGAUUUAUUCAUCUUACUGGUUAUUCUCCACCACUUUAUGUAUCCAAAUCAAGCGUCCUACAAAGUGACUCAUCCUGCUUUGAUUGGAACGACGAAGAAGAUGUCUUAUUCCCAAACUGGAAAACUCGAAUCACCUGAUUUGAAAGUGGGAUAACUUCUUCAUUCCAACUCCUAUGAGAUUUAUUCAACUUCUUGGUGAUUCUACACCAUUUUAUGUAUCCAAAUCAAGCUUCUUCCAAAGUGAUUCAUCCCGCUUUGAUUGGAACGACGAAGAAGUUGUCCUAUUCCCAAGCUGGGAAACUGGAAUCAUCUGAUUUAAAAGUGGAAUAACUUCUUCAUCCCAACUCCUAUAAGAUUUAUUCAACUUCCUGUUCAUUCUUCACCACUUUAUGUAUCCAAAUCAAGCUUCUUACAAAGUGAUUCAUCCUGCUUUGAUUGGAACGACGAAGAAGUUGUCCUAUUCCCAAACUGGGAAACUGGAAUCACCUGAUUUGAAAGUGGGAUAACUUAUUCAUCCCAACUCCUAUGAGAUUUAUUCAACUUGCUGGUGUUUCUCCACCACUUAAUGUAUCCAAAUCAAGCUUCUUACAAAGUGACUCACCCUCCUUUGAUUGGAAUGACAAAGAAGAUGUCCUAUUCCCAAACUGGGAAACUGGAAUCACCUGAUUUGAAAGUGGGAUAACUUCUUCAUCCCAACUCCUAUGAGAUUUAUUCAACUUCCUGUUCAUUCUCCACCACUUUAUGUCUCCAAAUCAAGCUUCUUACAAAGUGAUUCAUCCUGCUUUGAUAGGAACGACGAAGAAGCUAUCCUAUUCCAAAACUGGGAAACUAAAAUCACCUGAUUCGAAAUUGGGAUAGCUUCUUCAUCCCAACUCCUAUGAGAUUUAUUCAACUUCCUGGUCAUUCUCCACCACUUAAUGUAUCCAAAUCAAGCUUCUUACAAAGUGAUUCAUCCUGGUUUGAUUGGAACGACGAAGAAGAUGUUCUAUUCCCAAAGUGGGAAACUGGAAUCACCUGAUUUAAAAGUGGAAUAACUUUUUCAUCCCAACUCCUAUGGGAUUUAUUCAACUUCCUGGUCAUUCUUCACCACUUUAUGUAUCCAAAUCAAGUUCUUACAAAGUGAUUCAUCCUGCUUUGAUUGGAACAACGAAGAAGUUGUCCUAUUCCCAAC
rnacentral:lncRNA from 1 species